rnacentral:rRNA from 1 species
AUACGAAGGUCCCAAGCGUUAUUCGGAAUCACUGGGCGUAAAGAGUACGUAGGCGGUUUGGUAAGUCAGGUGUGAAAUCCCGGAGCUCAACUCCGGAACUGCAUCCGAUACUGCCAGACUUGAGUAACGGAGAGGCAGGUGGAAUUCUCGGUGUAGCAGUGAAAUGCGUGGAUAUCGAGAGGAAGACCAAUGGCGAAGGCAGCCUGCUGGACAUUUACUGACGCUGAGGUACGAAGGCUAGGGGAGCGAAAGGGAUUAGAAACCCUAGUAGUCC